rnacentral:sRNA from 1 species
UGAUUAAGUAUUCAGUGUUUUUAUUGCC